rfam:Vibrio sp. J237 Contig_11, whole genome shotgun sequence.
GGGGCCGAUUAGGAUUCGACGCCGGUAGCGAAACUCGAGGGGCAUGCCGAGUGGGUAACAGAACUCGUAAAUCCACUGUUGCAAACUUUAUAAUUGCCAAUGAUGACAAUUACGGUGCCCAACUAGCUGCGUAAGCAGCCUAGUCGCACUUCUGGUAGCUUCGGCUCCAGCAAUCAUUAGGGGAUGUCUGUAAACCCGAAAUGAUUGUCAUAUAGAACAGAAUCGCCGCGUAGUACGUUGUGGACGAAGUGGCUAAAACUUACACAACUCGCCCAAAGCACCCUGCCCGUCGGGCGGCCAAGGGUUAACUUAAUAGACACGGCUAAGCAUGUAGAACCGACAGCGGAGAACUGGCGGACGGGGGUUCAAAUCCCCCCGGCUCCACCA